rnacentral:rRNA from 1 species
GCUAGUAAUCGCGCAUCAGCCACGGCGCGGUGAAUACGUUCCCGGGCCUUGUACACACCGCCCGUCAAGCCAUGGGAGCCGGGGGUACCUGAAGUGCGUAACCGCAAGGAGCGCCCUAGGGUAAAACUGGUGACUGGGGCUAAGUCGUAACAAGGUAUC